rnacentral:rRNA from 1 species
GUCUAUUGGAUUUAAAUCGAUAGUCUGACCUGCCCACUGAAUAUUUUAAAUGGCCGCGGUAUUUAGACCGUGCUAAGGUAGCAUAAUCAAUAGUCUUUUAAUUGGGGACUAGAAUGAACGGUUGGAUGAGGUACAAGCUGUCUAGCAAUUGUAAUUUUGAAUUUUACUAUUAAGUGAAAAGGCUUAAAUUAUUUAGCGGGACGAUAAGACCCUAUAAAGCUUUUAUUUGGCUUAUUAUUUUAACUAUGAUAUUUUUGUGCUUAUGUUAAAAUUGGGGUCAAAUUGGGUUGGGGCGACUGGGAUAUAAAAGGUAACUGUCCUUAUGAUUAAAAUAAUGGUUUUUAGGUAUUUGAUCCUGUAGUAUGGGUUAAAAGAUUAAAGUUACUUUAGGGAUAACAGCGUAAUUCUUUUUGAGAGUUCUUAUCGACAAAAGUGUUUGCGACCUCGAUGUUGAAUUAAAGUUUCGUCAAGGUGUAGCAGCUUUGAUUGUAGGUCUGUUCGACCUUUAAAGCUUUACAUGAUUUGAGUUCAGACCGGCGUA